rnacentral:rRNA from 1 species
UACGUAGGGUCCGAGCGUUGUCCGGAAUUACUGGGCGUAAAGAGCUCGUAGGUGGUUUGUCGCGUUGUUCGUGAAAACUCACAGCUCAACUGUGGGCGUGCGGGCGAUACGGGCAGACUGGAGUACUGCAGGGGAGACUGGAAUUCCUGGUGUAGCGGUGGAAUGCGCAGAUAUCAGGAGGAACACCGGUGGCGAAGGCGGGUCUCUGGGCAGUAACUGACGCUGAGGAGCGAAGGCGUGGGGAGCGAACAGG